rnacentral:lncRNA from 1 species
UCAAAGUUCUUUAGCUAAAAACAUGUGAAACCAAUCUUUAUAACUCUUCUUCUCCAUUGAACAGCCUGGAUACGGGUAUCAACAACAGCUUGUACCGGGCAUGAGACCUGGCGGCUCACCGAUGUCAAACUUCUUCAUGCCUAUGAUGCAACAAGGCCAGCAACAACAGCAGCAGCAACGACCUGGUGGUGGUGGUAGAAGAGGAGGAGCUCUUCCACAACAACCUUCCCCUAUGAUGCAGCCACAGCAGGUUAAGUAUCUUCUGCAGCAAUUAUUGUCUCUUUGAGAAUCAUUUGCGUUCUUAUAUUUUGCUGUAUUCUCCAGAUGCAUCCAAGGGGUAGAAUGUAUAGGUAUCCACAGAGAGAUGUAAACCCAAUGCCUGGUCUUACUCCAAACAUGCUGUCUGUACCGUAUGAUGUGUCUGGUGGUGGUGCUCAUCUUCGUGAUUCACCUGCUGCUUCUCAGCCUGUUCCUAUUGGAGCUUUGGCUACAUCACUCGCUAAUGCGGCUCCUGAGCAUCAGAGAACGGUAAUAUUAAAAUGUUGUUUUUUUUGUCACUGAGACAAUUUAUUGUUUACUGAAAAAGUGUUGUUUUUUCUUCCUCACAGAUGCUUGGUGAGAAUCUGUACCCACUAGUGGAGCAGCUUGAGCCAGAAUCAGCAGCUAAAGUCACGGGAAUGCUUCUUGAAAUGGACCAAACCGAAGUACUUCACUUGCUGGAAUCUCCUGAUGCACUUAAAGCUAAAGUUGCAGAGGCAAUGGAUGUGCUGAGGAGUGUAGCUCAGCAGCAGCAAGCUGGUGGUGCAGCUGAUCAGUUAGCGUCUCUGUCUCUUGGAGACAACAUCGUACCUUGAGUUAUAAGUGCUUUGUUUGUCCUUGUGGAGAAUCAGAUACAAAGAGUGGUUCUUGAAAGUUUUGGAUUACAAUGUGUUUUUUUUUGUUUUGGAUUUCAGCUAAUCUUUAAUACUUUGGGAAGUUUUGGAUCAUUUACCCAUUCCAUAGAUCUUGGUUUGCUUUUAUCUAUUUAAGAUUCAUAAAACGUUUGGUUUAAUGCGUUUGAUGAUCUUAGUCACAAAAUGCACCAAAACUAGCGCAUUGCUGAGUUCAUAUUAAUUAGUUCAUUUAGUUCUAAUUGCAUACACAAAACAAUAUUUCAUCCAAAUUGUGUUUUUUUUCUUUGUUUCUAUAUUGACACCAAAGGCACUAUGGAAAUUAGAUUGUAUGCCUAACAAAAAAAUUAUAAAAAUCUAACAGUUUUACCUAAUUAGCUAGAGUAUACGAUAUAUUUUAUGUGUAAAUGUUAUUUUGCCUUUAUAAUCAUGAAUCAACCAACAAUCUGGUAAGAAAUACAUAAUAAAAUAAUUAUUAAAUAAUUGUAAUUAGUAUAUCAUGUCUCAUCCAGCAAUCUGGCCUUUGUUUAAGUGUCUUAAGUUCAUAAACUAAUAACGCAAGAUUUUAUUAUAGUUUUGAAAAGUCUCAAUUGAAUAAGACUAGAAUAAUUAUAAAAUCUAAAUCUAUAUAACUCUUUAAAUACACAAUCUAAAAACUUUAUUACAUUUUGAAUGUGACAGGUGAUGCGUGACCCUACUGGAGUGAGUAGAGGAUCUGGAUUUGUGGCAUUCUCAACUCCUGAGGAAGCAUCUAGAGCUGUAAGUGACUACCAUAUAAAGAAGACAUGUGAAUUUUAAAGCGAUCUCAAUGUUUAACUUGUCCUUGGGUUCAGAUUGCUGAGAUGAAUGGUAAAAUGAUUGUCUCAAAGCCUCUAUAUGUCGCUCUUGCACAGAGGAAAGAAGACCGCAAAGCUAGGUUACAGGUCUGUUUAUGUUUUUAACCUUAAAACAAGAGUUGACGUUAUCCUAUUCUCAUAGUACUCAAUUUUCACUUUCUUUGCAUUUCAGGCUCAGUUUUCACAGAUGAGGCCAGUACCUGCGGUUGGUCCUAGGAUGCCAAUGUAUCCACCAGGUGGCCCACCAAUGGGUCAACAACUCUUCUAUGGCCAAGGACCUCCUGGCAUGAUUCCUCCUCAGGUAAAAGUCAAAGUUCUUUAGCUAAAAACAUGUGAAACCAAUCUUUAUAACUCUUCUUCUCCAUUGAACAGCCUGGAUACGGGUAUCAACAACAGCUUGUACCGGGCAUGAGACCUGGCGGCUCACCGAUGUCAAACUUCUUCAUGCCUAUGAUGCAACAAGGCCAGCAACAACAGCAGCAGCAACGACCUGGUGGUGGUGGUAGAAGAGGAGGAGCUCUUCCACAACAACCUUCCCCUAUGAUGCAGCCACAGCAGGUUAAGUAUCUUCUGCAGCAAUUAUUGUCUCUUUGAGAAUCAUUUGCGUUCUUAUAUUUUGCUGUAUUCUCC